rnacentral:rRNA from 1 species
GUUGUUCGGAAUUACUGGGCGUAAAGGGCGCGUAGGCGGUUCGCUAAGUUGAAUGUGAAAACUCUGGGCUUAACCCAGAGCCUGCAUUCAAUACUGGCGGGCUAGAGUUCUGGAGGGGAUAGCGGAAUUCCUGGUGUAGCGGUGAAAUGCGUAGAUAUCAGGAGGAACACCGGUGGCGAAGGCGGCUAUCUGGACAGAGUCUGACGCUGAGGCACGAAAGCGUGGGGAGCAAACAGG